rnacentral:rRNA from 1 species
UACGGAGGGGGCUAGCGUUGUUCGGAAUUACUGGGCGUAAAGCGCACGUAGGCGGCUUUGUAAGUUAGAGGUGAAAGCCCGGGGCUCAACUCCGGAAUUGCCUUUAAGACUGCAUCGCUAGAAUUGUGGAGAGGUAAGUGGAAUUCCGAGUGUAGAGGUGAAAUUCGUAGAUAUUCGGAAGAACACCAGUGGCGAAGGCGACUUACUGGACACAUAUUGACGCUGAGGUGGCGAAAACGUGGGGAGCAAACAGG